rnacentral:tRNA from 1 species
GCGGCUAUAGCUCAAGUGGUAGAGCGCAUGCUUAGCAUGCACAAGGUCCUGGAUUCAAUUCCCAGUACUCCUU